GACGAACGCUGGCGGCGUGCUUAACAAAUGCAAGUCGAACGGAAAGGCCCUGCUUUUGUGGGGUGCUCGAGUGGCGAACGGGUGAGUAACACGUGAGUAACCUGCCCUUGACUUUGGGAUAACUUCAGGAAACUGGGGCUAAUACCGGAUAGGAGCUCCUGCUGCAUGGUGGGGGUUGGAAAGUUUCGGCGGUUGGGGAUGGACUCGCGGCUUAUCAGCUUGUUGGUGGGGUAGUGGCUUACCAAGGCUUUGCCGGGUAGCCGGCCUGAGAGGGUGACCGGCCACAUUGGGACUGAGAUACGGCCCAGACUCCUAAGGGAGGCAGCAGUGGGGAAUAUUGCACAAUGGGAGGAAGCCUGAUGCAGCAACGCCGCGUGCGGGAUGACGGCCUUCGGGUUGUAAACCGCUUUCGCCUGUGACGAAGCGUGAGUGACGGUAAUGGGUAAAGAAGCACCGGCUAACUACGUG
rnacentral:rRNA from 1 species